UACAGAGGUCUCAAGCGUUGUUCGGAUUCAUUGGGCGUAAAGGGUGUGUAGGUGGCGCGCUAAGUCGGGUGUGAAAUUUCGGAGCUUAACUCCGAAACUGCAUUCGAUACUGCGGUGCUUGAGGACUGGAGAGGAGACUGGAAUUCAUGGUGUAGCAGUGAAAUGCGUAGAGAUCAUGAGGAAGACCAGUGGCGAAGGCGGGUCUCUGGACAGUUCCU
rnacentral:rRNA from 1 species